rnacentral:rRNA from 1 species
AUUGAACGCUGGCGGCAUGCCUUACACAUGCAAGUCGAACGGCAGCACGGGUGCUUGCACCUGGUGGCGAGUGGCGAACGGGUGAGUAAUACAUCGGAACGUACCUUAUCGUGGGGGAUAACGCAGCGAAAGUUGCGCUAAUACCGCAUACGCCCUGAGGGGGAAAGCGGGGGACCGGAAGGCCUCGCGCGAUUAGAGCGGCCGAUGUCUGAUUAGCUUGUUGGUGGGGUAAAAGCUCACCAAGGCGAUGAUCAGUAGCUGGUCUGAGAGGACGAUCAGCCACCCUGGGACUGAGACACGGCCCAGACUCCUACGGGAGGCAGCAGUGGGGACUUUUGGCCAAUGGGGGCAACCCUGAUCCAGCAAUGCCGCGUGAGUGAAGAAGGCCUUCGGGUUGUAAAGCUCUUUUGUCAGGGAAGAAACAGCAGCUCUAACACAGUCUGCGAAUGACGGUACCUGAAGAAUAAGCACCGGCUAACUACGUG